UAGCUCAGUUGGUAAAGAGUCUGCCUGCAAUGCAGGAAACCCAGGUUUGAUUCCUGG
rnacentral:tRNA from 1 species